rnacentral:rRNA from 1 species
UACGGAGGGUGCAAGCGUUAUCCGGAUUCACUGGGUUUAAAGGGUGCGUAGGUGGGCAGGUAAGUCAGUGGUGAAAUCUCCGGGCUUAACCCGGAAACUGCCAUUGAUACUAUUUGUCUUGAAUACCGUGGAGGUCAGCGGAAUAUGUCAUGUAGCGGUGAAAUGCUUAGAUAUGACAUAGAACACCAAUUGCGAAGGCAGCUCGUUACACGAAUAUUGACUCUGAGGCACGAAAGCGUGGGGAUCAAACAGG